GGGCUUAACACAUGCAAGUCGAGGGGCAGCAUUUUAGUUUGCUUGCAAACUAAAGAUGGCGACCGGCGCACGGGUGAGUAACACGUAUCCAACCUGCCGAUAACUCGGGGAUAGCCUUUCGAAAGAAAGAUUAAUAUCCGAUAGUAUAUUAAAACCGCAUGGUUUUACUAUUAAAGAAUUUCGGUUAUCGAUGGGGAUGCGUUCCAUUAGUUUGUUGGCGGGGUAACGGCCCACCAAGACUACGAUGGAUAGGGGUUCUGAGAGGAAGGUCCCCCACAUUGGAACUGAGACACGGUCCAAACCCCUACGGGAGGCAGCAGUGAGGAAUAUUGGUCAAUGGACGAGAGUCUGAACCAGCCAAGUAGCGUGAAGGAUGACUGCCCUAUGGGUUGUAAACUUCUUUUAUAUGGGAAUAAAGUAUUCCACGUGUGGGAUUUUGUAUGUACCAUAUGAAUAAGGAUCGGCUAACUCCGUGCCAGCAGCCGCGGUAAUACGGAGGAUCCGAGCGUUAUCCGGAUUUAUUGGGUUUAAAGGGAGCGUAGGUGGAUUGUUAAGUCAGUUGUGAAAGUUUGCGGCUCAACCGUAAAAUUGCAGUUGAAACUGGCAGUCUUGAGUACAGUAGAGGUGGGCGGAAUUCGUGGUGUAGCGGUGAAAUGCUUAGAUAUCACGAAGAACUCCGAUUGCGAAGGCAGCUCACUAGACUGCAACUGACACUGAUGCUCGAAAGUGUGGGUAUCAAACAGGAUUAGAUACCCUGGUAGUCCACACAGUAAACGAUGAAUACUCGCUGUUUGCGAUAUACAGUAAGCGGCCAAGCGAAAGCAUUAAGUAUUCCACCUGGGGAGUACGCCGGCAACGGUGAAACUCAAAGGAAUUGACGGGGGCCCGCACAAGCGGAGGAACAUGUGGUUUAAUUCGAUGAUACGCGAGGAACCUUACCCGGGCUUAAAUUGCAUUUGAAUAAUCUGGAAACAGGUUAGCCGCAAGGCAAAUGUGAAGGUGCUGCAUGGUUGUCGUCAGCUCGUGCCGUGAGGUGUCGGCUUAAGUGCCAUAACGAGCGCAACCCUUAUCUUUAGUUACUAACAGGUCAUGCUGAGGACUCUAGAGAGACUGCCGUCGUAAGAUGUGAGGAAGGUGGGGAUGACGUCAAAUCAGCACGGCCCUUACGUCCGGGGCUACACACGUGUUACAAUGGGGGGUACGGAAGGCAGCUACCUGGCGACAGGAUGCUAAUCCCAAAAACCUCUCUCAGUUCGGAUCGAAGUCUGCAACCCGACUUCGUGAAGCUGGAUUCGCUAGUAAUCGCGCAUCAGCCAUGGCGCGGUGAAUACGUUCCCGGGCCUUGUACACACCGCCCGUCAAGCCAUGAAAGCCGGGGGUACCUGAAGUACGUAACAGCAAGGAGCGUCCUAGGGUAAAACUGGUAAUUG
rnacentral:rRNA from 1 species